UACGUAGGGGGCAAGCGUUGUCCGGAUUUAUUGGGCGUAAAGAGCGUGUAGGCGGCCAUGUAGGUCCGUUGUGAAAACUCGAGGCUCAACCUCGAGACGCCGAUGGAAACCAUCUAGCUAGAGUCCGGAAGAGGAGAGUGGAAUUCCUGGUGUAGCGGUGAAAUGCGCAGAUAUCAGGAAGAACACCCGUGGCGAAGGCGGCUCUCUGGUACGUGACUGACGCUGAGACGCGAAAGCGUGGGGAGCGAACAGG
rnacentral:rRNA from 1 species